ensembl:snRNA
AAGAAGGGCUUCUCUUGUGAGUGGUACACACAGGGCAACUCAAUUGCUCUUCGUGCAGAAUAAACAUUAAGACAUUUCAGAAGAGUAAUUUUUUGGUAGUUGGGAAGCUGGUGAAAAAAAAACACAAACUAUGUUUUUAGGCAAAUCUUCACCCACCCCA